rnacentral:rRNA from 1 species
UGUAGCAAUACAUGGGCGGCGACCGGCAAACGGGUGCGGAACACGUACAGAACCUUCCUUCGAGCGGGGAAUAGCCCAGAGAAAUUUGGAUUAAUACCCCAUAGUAUUACGGAGUGGCAUCACUUUGUAAUUAAAGAUUUAUCACUUGAAGAUGGCUGUGCGGCUGAUUAGGUAGUUGGCGGGGUAACGGCCCACCAAGCCUACGAUCAGUAACUGGUGUGAGAGCACGACCAGUCACACGGGCACUGAGACACGGGCCCGACUCCUACGGGAGGCAGCAGUAAGGAAUAUUGGUCAAUGGACGAAAGUCUGAACCAGCCAUGCCGCGUGGAGGAUGAAGGUCCUCUGGAUUGUAAACUUCUUUUAUAUGGGACGAAAAAAGGCUUUUCUAAGUCGUCUGACGGUACCAUAUGAAUAAGCACCGGCUAACUCCGUGCCAGCAGCCGCGGUAAUACGGAGGGUGCAAGCGUUAUCCGGAUUCACUGGGUUUAAAGGGUGCGUAGGUGGGUUGGUAAGUCAGUGGUGAAAUCUCCGAGCUUAACUUGGAAACUGCCAUUGAUACUAUUAGUCUUGAAUAUUGUGGAGGUCAGCGGAAUAUGUCAUGUAGCGGUGAAAUGCUUAGAGAUGACAUAGAACACCAAUUGCGAAGGCAGCUGGCUACACAUAUAUUGACACUGAGGCACGAAAGCGUGGGGAUCAAACAGGAUUAGAUACCCUGGUAGUCCACGCCCUAAACUAUGGAUACUCGACAUACGCGAUACACUGUGUGUGUCUGAGCGAAAGCAUUAAGUAUCCCACCUGGGAAGUACGAUCGCAAGAUUGAAACUC